GUCACAUGUCUGAGACCUGGAGUAGACUCUGGGAACCACUGUGUGUGGACAUGAGGUGUCUAUGCCUCCGUCCCACCAACAACCACUCCGAGGAUUAGAACAAGUUCGUUGCUCUCUUCUACUCCGUCAUUACCUCCACAGUCAACCCCUUCAUAUAUACACUGAAGAACAAGGAUGUGAGAGGUGCAAUGAAGAAGGUGAGAGUUCAAACUCUGAAUUCAUGGAUUCAUUGCAGCCUCCAGAGAUGCUGAUGGAGUGUUCCUAG